GACGAACGCUGGCGGCGUGCUUAACACAUGCAAGUCGAACGGAGAGGCCCUGCUUUUGUGGGGUGCUCGAGUGGCGAACGGGUGAGUAACACGUGAGUAACCUGCCCUUGACUUUGGGAUAACUUCAGGAAACUGGGGCUAAUACCGGAUAGGAGCUCCUGCUGCAUGGUGGGGGUUGGAAAGUUUCGGCGGUUGGGGAUGGACUCGCGGCUUAUCAGCUUGUUGGUGGGGGAGUGGCUUACCAAGGCUUUGACGGGUAGCCGGCCUGAGAGGGUGACCGGCCACAUUGGGACUGAGAUACGGCCCAGACUCCUACGGGAGGCAGCAGUGGGGAAUAUUGCACAAUGGGCGGAAGCCUGAUGCAGCAACGCCGCGUGCGGGAUGACGGCCUUCGGGUUGUAAACCGCUUUCGCCUGUGACGAAGCGUGAGUGACGGUAAUGGGUAAAGAAGCACCGGCUAACUACGUG
rnacentral:rRNA from 1 species